AAACACAAGCUAAGGAAAUCUGUUUUU
rnacentral:piRNA from 1 species